UUAAAUUGAAGAGUUUGAUCAUGGCUCAGAUUGAACGCUGGCGGCAGGCCUAACACAUGCAAGUCGAACGGUAACAGGAAGCAGCUUGCUGUUUUGCUGACGAGUGGCGGACGGGUGAGUAAUGUCUGGGAAACUGCCUGAUGGAGGGGGAUAACUACUGGAAACGGUAGCUAAUACCGCAUAACGUCGCAAGACCAAAGAGGGGGACCUUAGGGCCUCUUGCCAUCGGAUGUGCCCAGAUGGGAUUAGCUAGUAGGUGGGGUAACGGCUCACCUAGGCGACGAUCCCUAGCUGGUCUGAGAGGAUGACCAGCCACACUGGAACUGAGACACGGUCCAGACUCCUACGGGAGGCAGCAGUGGGGAAUAUUGCACAAUGGGCGCAAGCCUGAUGCAGCCAUGCCGCGUGUAUGAAGAAGGCCUUCGGGUUGUAAAGUACUUUCAGCGGGGAGGAAGGGAGUAAAGUUAAUAACUU
rnacentral:rRNA from 1 species